CUCUAAGGAAGAAUUUAAGGAGAAAAUAGGCAAUUGCAAUAAUAUAUAUGAAGUUCAGUAGAAGAAGUAAUAAUAUCAAAGUUCUACUUGUAGAUAUCUUUUACCUCCUUCAGUGGCUGUAUUCCGAGUGAGAGGAAAACUUCUGGAUGGGCAGAGCUCCCAGUAAUGGACUUGGUCAGCCAUUUUGUAUGGAACGAGAAACAGCCUGAGACUACUACUGCUAUUCAGUCUUCCAGAAUCCUUGUGCCAAGAAACCAGCAGGGAAGGAAAGGAGGCACCACCCUGGAAGAGACCCUCAGAUCCUACUGGCCCUUUCACAUUUGGAGUACGGUCAGGAAUUAACUGACUUCCUUAGCUUGGGACCAACUACUACGAAAACCUACCUGCACGUUUGUGCUACGUUAUGUAUUGGUGACUGAACAUCAUUUUCCCUCUUGUAGCCUCCAGUCUAGCUCCAGCUGCACCCAAACAUUGUAACAGCUAUAAGCCUGGGAACUACAGAUGGAAUUUCACUCAUCGCCCAGGCUGGAGUUCAAUGGUGCAAUCUCUGCUCACUGCAAUCUCCGCUGCCUGGGUUCAAGCGAUUCUGCUGCCUCAGCCUCCCAAGUAGGUGGGAUUACAGGUGCCAGCCACCAGUGCCCGGCUAAUUUUUGUUUUUUUUUAGUAUAAGAGACAGGGCUUCACCAUGUUGGCCUGGCUGGUCUUAAACUCCUGACCUCAGGUCAUCCUCUUGCCUUGGCCUCCCAAAGUGCUGGAAUUACAGGUGUGAGCCACUGUGCCAGGCCUCACUCGUUAACGUACCCAGAGCAAUUUCCAGGCCUGUAGGCUCUAUUUAUGAUAAGUGUCUUAUAUAGAUUGUAAUGGUUUGGCUCUGUGACCCACCCAAAUUUCAUGUUGAAUUGUAAUUCCCAAUGUUAGGGGAGGAAUCUGGUGAAAGGUGAUUGGACCAUAGGGUGAUAGAUUUCCCCCUUGCUGUUCUCCUGAUAGCGAGUGAAUUCUUUCGAGAUCUAGUUAUUUGAAAGUAUGUAGCCCUUCCCCCUUCAUGCUCUUUCUCCUGCUCCAGCAUGGUAAGACAUACUUUCUUCCCCUUUGCCUUCUUCCAUGAUUCUAAGUAUCCUGGGCCUCUCAGCCAUCCUUCCUGUACAGCCUGCAGAACUGUGAGUCAAUUAAACCUCUUUUUUUCAUAAAUUACCCAGUCUCAGGUAGUUCUUUAUAGCAGUGUGAGAACAGAUCAAUACACAAUACCAUUUUUUAUCUUUUAUAACAUAUUUAUACUAUACCUUUUCUAUGUUUAGACACAAAAAUAGUUGCCAUUGUGUUAACAUUGCAGUAUUCACUACUGUAUUCACUAUAGUAUUCACUACAGUAACAUGCUGUACAGGUUUGUAGUCUAGAAACAAUAGGCUGUACCAUAUAACCUAAGUGUGUAGUAGGCUAUCUAGGUUUAUGGAAGUACAGUCUAUAAUCUUUGUACAACAAAAUCGCUUAACAGUAUAUCUCUCAGAACUUUUCCCAAUUUAGCAACACAUGUCUGUAUAUAAUUUCUAAAUUAUAAUUGAUGUGAUUAAUCCAUGUGCAGUUUUUUUAGCGUAGAUUUUACUUUUAAUUAAAACUUUGAAAUGAUUUGUGUGCGUUUGAGAAACAUGUCAGAUUUGACUAUGAAAUCAAAAUUUUCUUGGUAAUAUUUUGCUGUUAAAAAACAGUCUUUUAUAAACUAACCAAGGUUCCUAAAAAAUCAGAACAACAAUAAUGUCACAUAAAAAUAACUCAUUAGCACAGACUACAAUGUAGUUGAUUCUGACUGUGAGUUGUGAGCCAGCCAGCCAACCCCAGGUACUGGGUGUUGGUAUAAGCUGUAGACUCACUUCAGAGAGAAACAUAAGGCAGACAUGCCACUCUAGUAACUAUGGUGGGCAAGCUUUUGCUAAAUCAUGAACAGUGGUGAAUCAUCAGAUUAUUUUAUAUUUUCUCCCACGGCAUAUGCAUCAUGUUUAAAAUGUGGGUUUCCUUCCUUAUUUGAAUCAGAAUAAAUUUUUUAAAAGAAAUUUCAGCAUAGAAAAUAUUUUGAGGAAAUUCUUCUAAGCCCUGUAUUUACUUCUCAUGUCUAUAAUAAAAUAAAAGCAUAUCAUAGUUUCUCAAUUUUGUUUCCAUUUUGGUGUGCAGUGCACAGGUGGGAAACUAAAACAAUUCCAAACAUCUAAAUAAAUAAAAGAAUAAAAUAAGAAAAUAUUGUUCCACUAGCAAAAAAGAAAUUAUGAAGUUCUUAUUUCCAAAGUGACUAGUGGUUCUUAGACUUGUGGUUCUGAAAUCUUGGUUUCUGGAACAAUAGCAGCACCACCUGAGCAUUUGUUAUAAAUGUAUAUUCUCAGGUCCCACCCAGGCCUACUGAAUCAUAAACUCUCAGAGUAGGGCCCAUCGAUCUGAGUUUCACAAGCCUCCCAUGUAAUUCUAAUGCCUGCUAAAAUUUGAGGAAAACUACCUUUGACUAUGGAAUGUAAAUUAACAAAGCUAAAAUAGAUAGGUCUGAAUUUAUCUGUAGACUCAUUGGUUCUCAUUGGAUCUCACUCUCGCCUUCUAAUCCUACCUGGGGAUGUUUAUAAGACCCCAAACCAGAUAAUCAGAAUUGAAUUGAAUCAGAAUCUCGGCCCUAGUAUCAGAAUUUUCCAAAGCUCUCUGGCUGUUGAGCAGGCAGGAUAGAGAGACACUGGUAUAAGCUACACAUAUUUGUUCCAUAGAUCAACUUCUUACCAUGUCUUAAGCAUAUACUAAUCUGUGGUGAUAACUGUUGCCCCCCUUUUCGUUGACCCUGCUUUCUUGCUGUUCCUAUUUCAAUAGCUGAAGCUACAAGAGCCAGAAAGAAGAUGAACAUUAAGAAGAUAUUUUCGUAUAUCUAUUGUUACUUUUUCAUUCCCACACCUAGCUACUAGAGUGGCAUUCAUCUGAGUUGCUCCAUUUUAGAAACUUGUAUAUUCGAUUUAAAAAUCAGCCCACUAUUCUUUGGAUUAUUAAACACACCGCUAGUACUGAUCUGCUUGCUCUGUUUUAUCCCUUUUCAACCCAUUCUUCACAUUGUAGUCAAUGUUAUCUUUCUAAAUGCAAAUUUGAUUGUGUUCAAACUUUUUAAAAUGACUUGCAAAGCACUGCAUAAGCUCUGUGUAAUAGCCCUGCUUCAUCUAUCUUUUAUCAACUAUUCCCCUCCCUGAAUCCCUUCAAUGAUGUAGCCGUACUAAAUGUUAGGUUUCUUGAACCCAGCAUGUUUUUUUCUCUCUUCUUAUCAGCAGAACACAUGUUGUUCUCUUUACUUGGAACGCCGCCUCUGACAGAUGGUCACCUCACCAUCACUCAUUCAUCCUUCAAGUCUUUGAUACAAUUUCUUCCAAGAAAACUUACCUGAUUAUUUGAGCUUGAGAUAGCACUCUCUGGAAAGCCCUAGAAUUUUUAUAGCUUGCGGUAAUUGCUUACUGAAAUCUCCAGUGGGCUGGAAAAUUAGGGAAGGUAUUUUCAUGUAUCUAUUGUUAAUUUUUCAUUACCACAGCUAGCAGAGAGGUUAUAUGUUUUGAAAAAACUUUUAUUGAGUAAAUGAGAGGAUGAAUUUAAAACAACCUAAACACAGGUAAUGCAACCAAAUAACAAAUUAAAAAUCAUCAAGAAGUGAACCAAAGAAUAAAAUCAAUAAGGUAAUAUAGGAUCAGAAGUGAAAUUGCACAUUAAAUGUGCUAUGAUAGACAUAGGGCCCAGAAAAACUGAUCUCCCAGGUAAAUGUCCUUUUUCUUACACCAUCCUAACACUUUAAUCCCUUCCUUUCCAUCUUACAUAAAGUAACUGUUUACUGGCAAACAUUUGAGAUGCAAUUGAUGCAUUAAAAAAAGUCUACAUCUCUCAAUUUAUUAGCACUUCUCAUACUGUGUUCCUCAAGCGCUAAAUGUACAAGAGGUUAAUACAUGUUUCAUAUAAAUUCAUUUCUCUGGUGGAACAAGUUUGUGAGGUGCUGUGUUAAAUUAAGUAGCUUUCUCUAAUGCAGUCAUAUUCAGAAUCUUUAUUAUGGUGAUGUGCUUUGUAAAUCUCCCAAAGGGAGAAAUAGUAAACAUUUCUUUGGAAAUAUUUUGAAAGACAUCUUGCAGAAUUAAUAGUCAGUGAAACAAUUUGAAAAGCAUUAGUUUAAAUGCAUCAGUACAUAUCUCACUCCAAGAAAGUUGAGGAAAAUCACGGGGAGUGUUGCUGGGAGCUUUCCUCUAUCUCUCAGGAAAUUGAUUGCUCAGAAUUAUUUUCUGAACUAUGUGAACUUUGUGAGCUUAAAAAAUGUAUAUAUAAAAUGAGUGACCGAUGUGUGUAUCUUCAAGACUAUUUAAAAGUAUGUAUUAAACACAUACAACAUGCAGUAUUGUAUGUAUAAGGUAUGGCUCUUUCGAUAACUACACAUUCUUGUUGAACAUACAAUGACUGUGCUGGAUGGGUGUUCUGAAUUGUAAGGACUAUAAAUGCCUAACAGUUCAGGGAGACUGUAGAGCAAUGUCAGCUGAAAUAAACACUGGAAAAGUUAAAGAUACAGGAGGGAUCUAAAUGGGCCCUGGGAAAAUAAUAUGGGACCUCAUUGGAGUUUUAAAACAUGGGGCUCAGCUUGUGUUGAGCACUGGAGUGAGGCACCAUCUAUUUCCAAAGCUAGAACCUGGGUGCUAGUGGGUGGAUUUAUGAGCAACUCUACCCAACGUAUUCAUUUAUAUUUAGGAGCCUCCAGGGGGAAAAGGCACCGACACCUUGAUCACUGAGAUUUAAAUGCAUAAAAGCCUAAUUGACACAAGUGGAACCUAUUAAAUGAAGCUUAUGUUUCCUCAAGCUUCUCUUCCUCAAAAAGAAAUUUACCUCAGAAAGGGAAGCUGGGCUAGUGAACCAUACUUAGUGCCAAGGUCUAAGUUAUUUGAAGAAAGCGACUUUUCAGGCACAUUACACACUUAAUUCCAGAACUUUCUAAGCAGUCCUUCUAGCAUUGAGGGAAAACUUAGAGAGUGACAGUUUGACAAGUUGUACUGUAAGAAAGAAAGAGCUUAAACCAUUAAAAAGCUCUUAUAUGUAGGGCCAUGGAAGUGUGUAGAACUCCUAACUGGGCUUAAUCAAGAAGACUCCAGGGGAUAUUGUGUGUAUAUGUGUCUGCAUGCACACAUAUGCAUGCAUGCAUGCUUCAUUCAUCAUAUUUCCUCGGGAAAUGUUCCUCUUCCAUCUGGUGUGAUUCUGAGGAGGCCUGUCAAUUACAUAGUUCCACCAGCUCUAGCCACAGGGCUCUGCCCCAGACCUGGCCUAGCUUAUCACAGUAACUUACCUUCCUGAUUAGCAAGGGGGAUAAUCCAAGGGCUAGACAUAUGAUCCCAGAAAUACCUGUCUCAGUCCCCCAUGAGAUUAGCUAGACACUGGGAAAGAGAGAGACUCUCUUUCUUUUGGUUAAUAAGUUAUAGAGAAUAAUGACUUGAGGCUGACAGGAACCAUUUUUCUUACCGUGUGGAAAAAAAGCUUGCAUAAGAAUGAAACCAUCGCACAGAGGAAAGCAGAGCCCAGAGUCAUAGAAAAGCUGAGUAUGAAUGACAGCUUUGUUAGAAACUCUAGAUCACAAUGUGCUCAAAGUCUACCCCAUGCUCAGACUUGCCAGUUACAGGAGUUAAUACGUACUUAUUAAACUGUCUUGAAUUUAUGUUUGGUUUCUUUUACAAAGUGGGUGUUGACUAAUGGAUAGUCACCCUGUUUUCACAAAAAGGAGCCAGGAAAUGGAUGGAGCCAUUGACAGAAGUUUUCUUCAGGAUCCUGGAGAGCAUGUGGGACAGCAGUAGUACCAGAAAUUCAGAAAGAGAUGAUUGGUGUUCAGGUGAGUCAUAGGCUUGCAGAAUUAUUAGGACUUAUAGCAAAGUUAUCAGUGAUAGUGUAUGUCCAGUUGCACCACUGAGAAGAACGGCAAUAAAUCAUUGGCAAUGCCACAUGGAUCAUGGUCAACUGUUGGACAAAAGGGGUUUGGAAAUGAAGUUUGACCUCUAGGAGCUUUGAGGUACUGCUUCCUUGGAAUCAUGAAGUGUAAGACCAAUGGGAAACAUUUCAUAAUUCACCACAAGAAGAUACUGGGAAUAUCUAGAAAAGCGAGGUCCUUAGAUCUAUUAGAAUUUCUAUAAGCAAGGUUGGUGAAGGCUUGCAGCUAUUGUGAUUUAAGGAAGAGUUGUUGAGUAUAACCUCAGACUACUUACAUCAGAGAAGGAAGUGAGAAGGUCAUGCCAGAAAAAGGAAAAUAUUGACAAUAAACCUUGGCAUAUUCACAAGGCUUUGAGACCAAACUGAUGAGACAAGAUGAAAUUUUGGAGGGAGUUGUGAGAAAUAAAGCUGGCUAGUUAUGAGAGGGUUGCGUUAGGGUACAGUUUAUGAGAGAAGUUUAAAUUGGAUUUAGUAUGAAUGAAAUAGGAAGCAAAAGGAGGGUUUCUACAUCACCUGUUGUGGACUUGGCAACACCUGUUUAACUUGUUUGCAGCAUAAAUACAAUCACACUUCUUAUUUUUCAGAUAGUCACUUAAGCUUUCAAGUUUUCUUCCUUAUACCUCGUGAGAUUCUCUAUUUCCCUUUUUGAGAUAGCCCGCUAUACUCACGCCCCACACUGAAAUGUCCAAAAACCAAGGGGCUAACUCAAUACAUAUAUAAAGAGAGAUUAGUUCUGUUUCCAAAUACCAAACAGGAAAAGGGAACUGUAAAGUUAGAUGAGUCCCCAUACACCAUUGAUUUGAUCAUGUGCAUCUCACACAGUCAGAGGUUUCUCCCCCUCUUGCAGACACGCCCUUGCUCAUCCAGAUACCUGCACAGGAUGGAGUGGUGGCCAUCUUUCAGUUUCAAAUAAAGAUCUUAAGCAAAUCUUUCUGUUCUCAAACAUUGUUUCCUAAGACAGGACACCAUACAGACUGGCUGGGGCUGAACUCAUGCUGACUCACAGAGACAGAGUGCAGACAUGUUUUUAGAGAGUAUGCUCAAAAUUUCACAAGCUGUCUCCCUAGCAGCUGAUCAUGGUGCAAAUUUUGCUGCCCUGCUGCAUAUUGGAUACGACUUUAACAAUACCAAGUGCUCUUGAGUAUAACAAUAAACAGCAAGUUUUAUAAAAUGUGCACAGGAGUAUAAAUUGCUAUGUCCACCUUGAAAAGUAAUUUCACAUCUAGCCAAGUUCAAGAUACAAGUAUGUUUGUAUCAAAUAUUUCCAUUCCCCAAGUAGCAGCUCCAGAUGAGUGGAUUCACAGCAGUAUUGACCAAAGAAGGGGAAAUGAUCAAAAUGUCUAACAAUAGAGAAUUACCAAAUAAAUUAUGACAUGCUCAUACAAUCAAUUAAAAUUUACCAGUGAAAGUAUAUGAAAAGCAAGACAUGCCAACAUGGAUAAAUCUCACAAACAAUGUUGAAUAACAACAAAAGCAAGUUGUAGAAGGACACCUACAGUUGGAGGUCAUAUAUCUAAAGUUAAAAAAUGAAAAACAGGGCUGGGCACAGUGGCCCACACCUGUAAUCCCAGCACUUUGGGAGGCCAUGGCCGGUGGAUCACCUGGGGUCAGGAGUUCAAGACCAGCCUGGCCAACAUAGUGAAACCUUGCCUCUACAAAAAUACAAAAAUUAGCCAGGCAUGGUGGCGCAUGCCAGUAGUCCCAGAGGCACUCAGCUACUCAGGAGGCUGAGGCAAGAGAAUCACUUGA
rnacentral:lncRNA from 10 species